rfam:Simian immunodeficiency virus complete proviral genome, strain SIVCPZ CAM5
GGACUCGGCUUACUGAGUGCACGCAGUAAGAGGCGAGGC